rnacentral:lncRNA from 1 species
CCAGACUCCUGUCAAGUCCGCAUCAACACGACCAUCCUGUGGCACCAGGGCUGCGAGACCGAGGUCAACAUCACCUUCUGCGAGGGCUCCUGCCCCGGAGCGUCCAAGUACUCAGCAGAGGCCCAGGCCAUGCAGCACCAGUGCACCUGCUGCCAGGAGAGGCGGGUCCACGAGGAGACGGUGCCCUUGCACUGUCCUAACGGCUCAGCCAUCCUGCACACCUACACCCACGUGGAUGAGUGUGGCUGCACGCCCUUCUGUGUCCCUGCGCCCAUGGCUCCCCCACACACCCGUGGCUUCCCGGCCCAGGAGGCCACUGCUGUCUGAGAACGUUCUGCCUCCAUCCCCAUGCUCUGUCCACCUGGAGCCAGGAUGUGCAUUGUCUGAUCAUGAAAACCUUGGGCCUCCUCUGCGGAGCCCCCCGGCCUGUGUGUGGCACCCCGCGCUCCGUGCUCCUGCUGCCCACCCCGUGGGUGAAACCGGCCCCAGAAGGGUGAGGGGCCAGCAGGACCCCUUUCGGGAGGGCGCCACUCAGGAGUCCUACCCUGGGAGAGCCUGUGGCCCACCUUGGCCUUGCCCCUCCCUGAUGUCACUGGGACGCCCUGGAACAAACUAAGCAUGUGCGGGCCUAUGUGUCCCUGCCACGGCCGGAGCGCCCGCGCAGCACGGAUUCCAGCUGGCCACGUCCGGCCGCUGGGGCAGACAGGCUGGUCCAGGCAAGGCCAGCUGCUGCCAGGAAGCUGCGACAGGCAAGGCGGCCGCCUGUCCAUGCCUGCUGCAGGGUAACUCAGGGCUGAGGUCGCAACGGCCAGGUCAGAGAGGGGUCAGCAUCCCAAAGCCCCCUCUGCUCAACCCAGCCCAGUUUUGCAAAUAAACCCUGAGCAUUGAGU